CUUGGUCAUUUAGAGGAAGUAAAAGUCGUAACAAGGUCUCCGUUGGUGAACCAGCGGAGGGAUCAUUACCGAGUUUACAACUCCCAAACCCAUGUGAACAUACCUACUGUUGCUUCGGCGGGAUUGCCCCGGGCACCUCGUGUGCCCCGGAUCAGGCGCCCGCCUAGGAAACUUAACUCUUGUUUUAUUUUGGAAUCUUCUGAGUAGUUUUUACAAAUAAAUAAAAACUUUCAACAACGGAUCUCUUGGUUCUGGCAUCGAUGAAGAACGCAGCGAAAUGCGAUAAGUAAUGUGAAUUGCAGAAUUCAGUGAAUCAUCGAAUCUUUGAACGCACAUUGCGCCCGCCAGUAUUCUGGCGGGCAUGCCUGUCUGAGCGUCAUUUCAACCCUCAUGCCCCUAGGGCGUGGUGUUGGGGAUCGGCCAAAGCCCGCGAGGGACGGCCGGCCCCUAAAUCUAGUGGCGGACCCGUCGUGGCCUCCUCUGCGAAGUAGUAAUAUUCCGCAUCGGACAGCGACGAGCCCCUGCCGUUAAACCCCCAACUUUCCAAGGUUGACCUCAGAUCAGGUAGGAAUACCCGCUGAACUUAAGCAUAUCAAUAAGCGGAGGAAAAGAAACCAACAGGGAUUGCCCCAGUAACGGCGAA
rnacentral:rRNA from 1 species